AAAAAAAAACUCCCUUUCCUCCGCUCCGUCCCCAUCCCUCCACCGGCGAUUGCUCCUGCGCAGCGCUAGAACUGCAGCGUCGAGCAUCGCCACCAUAGUGCGCUCACACCAGUGGGCUGCUGCACGGCUGUCGGGCGGUGCCCCCGCCGAUUUAAGCGGCUGCGCUUCGGGAGGCGUCGCCUCGAGGAGCAGCAACGAGCAAAAUGCCAACGUGUGCUCUGUGCAGUAAGCCAUCUCCGCCAAUUCACCAUGGCCUUCACCGCCUCGAUCUGAGGAACGCCGCGCCUCUUCCGCCUGACUGCAGCGCCAGGAGCAGUCGAGACGAAGGCCAUGGCCACGGAUGCUGGGGCCGAAGGCAGCGUCGCAUCUGUUGGUCCUGGAGAGGACAAGAGGGGAACCGCUGGUAGAGUGCUACCUCUGUUUCCUCUCGGCCGUGGCCACCGGUCCCGCGCCCGACGCCAACGUUCAAGCUUUAUCCAUUCCGAACAUGCAGAGACAAUAUAUGAUGUUUCCCUGUUCACUUGCAUGAGAUUAUUCAGAUUUUGUUCAGUGGCAAUUGUUAAUUUGUUAUGACCAUAGUAUGAAUGUACGGGAGACUGGCCUUUCACUUAUUCAGUUUUCAGGUCUUUUGAAGCUCAUAAUUGGAUAUAGAAAAGAAUGAAGGUACUAAGUUUAUAGCAGCUCAUACUGAAGGUAGUACCGGAUUUUAUGAUGCCCAGGUAAAGAUAUGCCCUUUAAAAAAUAACUGUAUUGAACUAUUGUGUUUCUUAGAUGCCCCAUAACUAAUAAUUCUAUAUACAAUUUCAUAGAAGCCCGGCCAAUCAUCUCUUUUUAAUACACAUGAAAACCCACUUUCAUAGAUGCUCAUAAUGAGGAUACCGAUUUCAUAGAUGGACUAUGAUAUUCCAAACUUUGAUUUGUUGUUCAUUUUAUCCACUUCAUAUGAAAACUAUUAAUUUUCUUUGUAAAAUUUGGGUCAUUGAUGAGUUCACAACCAGUGUUUUUUCUCAAAAAGUAUUUAAUUAUCCCUUGCCUGCUGACAGAAAUCUGAAACAUUGCAUCAGCUAUCAACUCCCAGAUUACGGGCUCAAGGCUGUUUCUUGGCCAAUUUCUUCGCUAUAGAAAUUGACAAUCACAUUUCAUUUCCAUGGUGCACAUUUGACUGUUUUAGUACCUCGAUGGAUCGAGGUAUGAUUUAAAAGUUAGUUUGUGGUUACACAUAGGAGCAUGGUAGCUCUCUGUUUGGUCAGACAGUUAAAACCCCGUAUGCUUCAUAUGCCUUCAAUUAUGUUGUCAAAUCCAGUCAUUUACUUGCUUAUGUUAUCAUGCAGGAUAGUUAACCCCGUAAAUGAUCAUAGCAAAUGUCAUCAAAUUGAUAAUUUAAGAAGUGUGUACUACAAUGGGGAGCUCCCGUGACUAAAUUUCUCAACUUGUACAAUAUGCAGUUGUAGGAAAUUUCAGCUAUCCAGGCCCAUCCUUAGCUUAGUCUAGAUGGUGAUAAACCUUGUGCUUGUACUGCACUUGAAACGAUUAAGAAUUUUGUUGUAUUAGCCCAUUUAUUUGAGGUAUUUUUUGUGUCAACUUAUCAACUCAGUUUACUGCAUGCCUAAAAAAACUUCAUAAAACAUGACUAUUUGUGUCCUUCUGCAGCUGAAACAUCUCUAGACAUUCUGACCAUUCUUUGGACAGCGGGUUGACUCUCCUCAUCACUCAUCGGAUACAGUAAUAUUCUGUAAUUUCACGAGCAGGUGAGCUGGAUAGAACAUGCAUUGAAAUGGUGAAGCAAGACAAACGAGUGUGGCAGUUGUUCUUGGCCCUAGGGAGCUUGUUAUGCAGAUGUUUUGUCUUGCAUUUUCUGACAUCGUGGGAUUGAGGCGUUCAUGUGUUCUGGGCUUCUGCAUCGCUGACGCCAGUCCUUGUUGCUGGACCGACCCGCCGUUCCAGACUUGGAAUUUGUUACCAAUAGGGAACAGGCUGUUCACUGUAUUUGAACAAAAAGGUUCAUUUGCAUCCGCAAUGUUGUUCCCCUCGUUGUUUUCUCUCUCUGCUGUUUAGCGUUUGUAAUUAUUUUCAUUCACAAUUUCAAAGAAAAGCGUGCCAAAUUGUCAAAUAUGCUUUAUUGCGAGAUGAAUGAUC